rnacentral:tRNA from 1 species
UCCCUGGUGGCUCAGAGGUUAAAGCGUCUGCCUGCAAUGCGGGAGACCUGGGUUCGAUCCCUGGGUCGGGGAG